AUGAUGAGAUUACUUCAGCAACACUUGGAGCGCGUUAGAACUCGUAUGAAACACCAGGCAGAUAAGAAAUGUUCUGACAGAGUAUUUGCUGUGGGUGAUUCUGUUUUCCUCAAGUUGCAGCCAUACAUUCAGUCCUCUGUGGCCCCACGUGCUCAUCACAAAUUGUUGUUCAAAUACUAUGGCCCUUAUCAAGUGCUGGAACGAGUAGGUGCAUCAGCCUAUCGUCUUGCGCUUCCACCGGCAAGCAAGAUCCACCCAGUUCUACACGUCUCAACUGAAGUUGGCACUGGGACCUAA
rnacentral:rRNA from 1 species